rnacentral:rRNA from 1 species
UACGUAGGGUGCAAGCGUUAAUCGGAAUUACUGGGCGUAAAGCGUGCGCAGGCGGUUUUGUAAGUCUGUCGUGAAAUCCCCAGGCUUAACCUGGGAACUGCAUUCGAGACUGCAUAGCUAGAGUAUGGGAGAGGGAAGUGGAAUUUCAGGUGUAGCGGUGAAAUGCGUAGAUAUCUGAAGGAACAUCAGUGGCGAAAGCGACUUCCUGGACCAAUACUGACGCUCAUGUGCGAAAGCGUGGGGAGCAAACAGG